rnacentral:ncRNA from 1 species
AUUCAAGUGAGAACCUUGAAGGCCGAGGUGAAAAAGGGUUCCAUGGGAACAGCAGUUGACCAUGGGUCAGGCGGUCCUAAGUGAUCCGGUAAAUCGGAACAGAGACGGGGUGCCUGACAUUGUCCGUUCGCGGGCUUUGUUCAGUAAUCUGCAAAGUACUGUUGCAUUGCAGCCCCCUGUAGCGAAAGGGAAUCGGGUUAAUAUUCCCGACCCUGUCCACGGAGAUUGGUGUGUGUCGGGCCUUUGGUUCGGCGUGCGCCCAGCGCGGUAACGCAACCGACCUCGGAGACGUCGGCGGGAGUUCUGGGAAGAGUUCUCUUUUCUUUGUUAGGAGUGCAUCCACCCCCUGGAAUCGGCUUGUCCGGAGAUAGGGGGCUAGCCUCCGUAAAGCACCACCCUUCUUGUGGUGUCCGGAACGCUCCUGUCGGCCCUUGAAAAUCCGAGCGAGGCAGUAUAAUUUUCGUGGCAGGCCGUACCCAUAUCCGCAGCAGGUCCCCAUGAUGAACAGCUUCUGGCA